UGCUAUGAAGAAGAAGAACUUAGGUUAAAGUAAUUUUUCAUAAUCCUUAAAACUUAAAAGUAAAAAUCCAUUACUUCUUUCAAUUAAUUUGAAGUCACUCUCCUUUCCGCUCCUAUCAUCUUCGAUUUCAAUUCGAUUGUUCGAUUCGAAUUAAUUCGAGUGGGAGGUUGGAACAUUCCGUACCUUUGGCAACGCAACGCAAUUAGGCCUGUUUAAAUACAGACGAAGUGACGGACUGACUUUAGUAAAUAAACAAAAUGGGUAGCCUGCAAUAGUUUAUUGUUUAUUCUGUUUCUUGUCAUUAUUUUUUUUUUCCAUUUUAAACGUCUUCUACUGUAUGCUCUCAACUUAAUUUUCAAGCGUUAAACUAAAAAUCAAAGUCCGUCUAGGUCUAAUCGCCCUACUUCAACCUUCUGUACAAAAUACUUAUUUAAAUUUAAAUUUCACUGUUGUACUUCACAUUGAUAAAGUGAGAUUUACCUCAUCACUAGUGAAUGCUGAUACCAAGAGGCUACUGGGGUUGUUGAUUGAAGAUGUCCGAUUCACAAGAGAUAUUGCAGUGUUAACAGCAAGACAUCACUUCAAGCCACUGUUCCAAACCCAGUUGAAACAAAUAGAGUUAAUCUGCUUGAAAAAAUUUUACCCAUUCUGACAUCAUUUGUUCAGUUUAUGUGUGUCUCCAUAAGCAAUGUGACUAUAGUAGCCCAGUUGAACAACAACAAGUUGGUCCAUGCUUCUGUUAACAAUCUGAGUUUAGACGGAAGCAUUUUACCACGCUCACAGAUAUUGCACUCUGUUGUCUGAUAGAUGUGUUUUCAUGUCAACUUCUUCAGACCGUAGCUUCUACUGAAAGGUAUUUUUCUUUGUCAACCAGCAAUCACAAUUUGCCGAAUCACGAACGAAAACUUGGAGCCGUGUUUAGCAGAAUUUUCAGUUGGAGUUCAAACAGAAAUUCUCGUUGACCCAGUUUUACCGGCCAUCACGGUCAUCCAAGAACUAGUUUCGAGUUGAAUUUGCCACGCUGCGCAUUACUAUUCGACGGCCAUUCCAUCAUUGAAGCUGAAGGAUUAAAUUGGAAGCUAGCUGAUAACGAUCUUGAUCUCAAACAAGAAAGAAUCAGUUUCGAUUGCGAGGCUGCCACAAUCCACAAACAAAUGUGGGCUGGUCAGCAUUGUCCAUUUGUGCGUUUGCUUCCCCUACCGUUACCAGUUUUCCGAAGCCUGCCAACAGGAGAUGGUGAGCGUCUUCAAGUGGCUAAAAUCGCUGCACAAAAAGCCUCGGCUUCCUGGACAAAUAGAGCCACUUUAUCGUGACGUUCGUCUGUCAGUUGCACUAUUUUCUAUGGUGCUCUGUGACGACCCAUUUGAGGUCAAGCUCCGUGAUAACUACGAACUGCGCGAAGAUUAAUUUCGUGAGAGUCUCAAACGUAAGCGUAUGUUGAACGCUAAAAUUGAAGAACUCCGAAGAACGCACCCACUUCUGACGCAAGGUAAAAUUGAUGAGCUUUAUACAAAUCUGGGAGGCCGAAAUGUUGAGAUAUUUGUUCAGCGAGCGCAACGCAUGUACGAGGCGAGGCCGAUGAGAACGGCUCUGUUCCGAUGGGAAAUGGAGCAAGUUGAUUUGAUGGCUUUAGCCGAUCCAUCUUUCCACGGUUACACCAAUGUCGUCCGCAAUAUCCAGGAGAUGGAUCCUGACAGCUCGUGGCCUGAUGAAGAAAUAGAUUUUAUUACGCUGUGGUGUCGUGCAGUCCGCGCAACAUGUCAUCGAUGGCGAUGUUUACUUCGAGAUUUCCCGCAACCGCUUCUCGACAUUCACGAAUUGCUGCUCUUUGGUCGACUAGCCGGAGCUGAACAACAGUCUUCCUGGCGAGCUCGACGAACCUGUACUGUUUCUGUAGCGGCCCCCUGGAGUGAUGUACAGAUCGAACGUGGAAUGAACCAACUGAAAUUUUACCAUGAUUUUUCUUGUGGCGCUGAGAGCUGGCGUCUGGCCUACGGUGCUUGUUGGGAGCCCGUGAUAGCCCAAUGCAAUCUAGCAUGGGAUUUCGUUUCACCUCCUUCAAAAGGAUCCUAGUCCAGCUUUGCCUUUUUGGGAUAAAAUUCUUCUACUCCUCCACGGUCGAGUUUACGUUGUCUGUUCAACAAUUAACUCUACUACUCCAUACAUCACUUUAUUGAUCCUUAUAAUACCACUGAAGAGAUGGAGCUAACUUGGACCGAUUUGGCAAUGGAUUGGACUAAUGCCAAUUUUAUCCUAAAAGGCGAAUUCAACGUCUAUGUCAGAACGGCUUCCAAAUACGAUGAUUGUCGUCUUUUGCAUUUACCUCGACUGAAGCUGACCAUCGGGCUGACCUGGCAUUGUUUGGCCGAUCCCAACGAACAUCUCGCUGAUACAACCCUGUGCUCCCGAUCGAAUUCCAGAAUACUCGAGCAAUCAGGAGCACGAUUCAACGUCCGAGUUCGAGUGGGGCAAAUGGAAAUUUCCUACGUAGUGAAUUUCCACGUCAAAUUCGUAACCCUCGUCUCUGAAGGUAUGACAGGCCCCACCAAAUUUGUAAUGUUUUUCGAGAACUAGGACUUUCAUUCCAGCUUUGCUGAGAAGGGCUGCUGCGGUCAUUCCUACAUUACAUAAGACAUUAUUAAACAUACACUAACGUAUUAAUUUAACGGGGAAAAGGAUCAAUCGCACCUCCUAUUCCCGAACCGGUUAGAAUUGCGUCCCAUUUCUUCUCUGUCGCCAGCUGCGUGGUGAAAGCUGUAAAAUCACCAGAAACAAAUCAAAUUAAAAUACAGACCCAUUUUUACGAGUAAGGUGGAUUUAAAGAGACUUCUUUUCAUGACUUGAUUUCGUUUGGUAUGAUCAGUUUCUAAUGGAGUCACUGGCCUUUUCGUAUCUUUAGCAGAAGGCGAUUUCCACUUUCCGGAAUUCGAAUUUUCAGGCGAAUCGAACAUCGAAGAAAUAUUUUUUCACGAAAUAACAAAUUACGACUGCGAAAAUUAUCCCAAUUUGAUGUUGCACGUUGGAAAGAAUAAUUGUCUGAAUGAGUAUAAUUGUCUGCAUGCGUCGGCUGUUGUGGAUCACUUGCAACUAACUUAAAAAAUUAUGAUUGGAAAUAUUUACACUUUCUUGCUUCAAUACCAGUUUUUGUCCAAAGGGGUUUGUUGGCAUCAUUCUGGAGUAAAAUCACUUUAACAGGAGAUGGUGUUCAAUUUCCUUUUUAUGCUUAAAAUGUCAUUUUUAUGUAGUUGAACUGCGUUUGAAAGGAAAAGAUAUUCUUGAACGAAUUGGUAUUCAUUUUCACUAAAUAGUCGUCAGAAACUGGAAAUAGUUGUAUUAUACAGGACGCAGCGCGUUUUCUGUUUCCCAAUAUAGAAAUUCCUCACUGUAA
rnacentral:lncRNA from 1 species